ensembl:snRNA U6 U6 spliceosomal RNA
GGGCUCACUUCAACAGCGUAUAUAUGAAAAGUGGAAUGAUACAGCGAUCAGCAGGGCCCGUGCCCAAGGAUGACAUGAAAAUUCAUGGAAUGUUCCAUUCAAAA